GCGGGAGUAGCUCAGUGGUAGAGCGCCUGCUUGCCAAGUAGGAGGUCGCGAGUUCGAUCCUCGUCUCCCGCUCCA
rnacentral:tRNA from 2 species